ACAUGCAGUCGUACGCUUCUUUUUCCACCGGAGCUUGCUCCACCGGAAAAAGAGGAGUGGCGAACGGGUGAGUAACACGUGGGUAACCUGCCCAUCAGAAGGGGAUAACACUUGGAAACAGGUGCUAAUACCGUAUAACAAUCGAAACCGCAUGGUUUUGAUUUGAAAGGCGCUUUCGGGUGUCGCUGAUGGAUGGACCCGCGGUGCAUUAGCUAGUUGGUGAGGUAACGGCUCACCAAGGCCACGAUGCAUAGCCGACCUGAGAGGGUGAUCGGCCACAUUGGGACUGAGACACGGCCCAAACUCCUACGGGAGGCAGCAGUAGGGAAUCUUCGGCAAUGGACGAAAGUCUGACCGAGCAACGCCGCGUGAGUGAAGAAGGUUUUCGGAUCGUAAAACUCUGUUGUUAGAGAAGAAUAAGGAUGAGAGUAACUGUUCAUCCCUUGACGGUAUCUAACCAGAAAGCCACGGCUAACUACGUGCCAGCAGCCGCGGUAAUACGUAGGUGGCAAGCGUUGUCCGGAUUUAUUGGGCGUAAAGCGAGCGCAGGCGGUUUCUUAAGUCUGAUGUGAAAGCCCCCGGCUCAACCGGGGAGGGUCAUUGGAAACUGGGAGACUUGAGUGCAGAAGAGGAGAGUGGAAUUCCAUGUGUAGCGGUGAAAUGCGUAGAUAUAUGGAGGAACACCAGUGGCGAAGGCGGCUCUCUGGUCUGUAACUGACGCUGAGGCUCGAAAGCGUGGGGAGCAAACAGGAUUAGAUACCCUGGUAGUCCACGCCGUAAACGAUGAGUGCUAAGUGUUGGAGGGUUUCCGCCCUUCAGUGCUGCAGCUAACGCAUUAAGCACUCCGCCUGGGGAGUACGACCGCAAGGUUGAAACUCCAA
rnacentral:rRNA from 1 species